UGGAUUAAGUAGGCCUACAUAAUCAGCCCUUCUCGAGGACCCCCUUUCAGCUGGAGGCUUUAGGCAGUUGAACUUCUUCUCUGGUUGCGACGGCUCUGCUUGUUUCUCCAGAUUCUGCGUUCAGAUAUGUGUUGAUAGAGAUUCCUGACGGACUGAAGUGGUUUUGGGAGAUUUCAGGUCUCUACAGUUUGUGUUUAAUGGGAGCUGAUGUCUGUCCAUGUGUUUGAUCAGAUCCAACAGGUCUUCUCAUCAAAGUGGUCGUCCUGCCGCUGACUCUGCUGUUGGUGAUCGCUGCCCUUUGUUUCUACCGUAAGGCCAGCAGGGGGCAGAAGCCGGGCAGGCAGGAGGACAUCGAGCUGGAUUAUUAUAACCCGGGUGUUUCUGCAGCUGAAGAGGAAGGAGCUCAGGGAGCAGAGUAGGACCUCCAAGGAGCUCAUCUCAGCUGCCUCACAACCCACCAUCAGCUCAGUCCAGGAUUUUACUCUUUUCUAGUGAUGGAUAAGCCUCUGGUUCUGGUUCUUGGGGGGCCUUCACAGACACAGUUUGACUGCCUGACACAUUUACAAGCCAUAUAGUAACAUGAUUUGCCUUUGCUUUCAGAGUGAUAAUGGUUAACUGCUGAGCUCAUAUUACAAAAGUAGAACAUUUGAAGAAAGAUGUUUAAUUUGAGAUACUGUCUUUAUUUCUUUAAUAAGUCCUGUAUCUCUGCAUCUCUUGUGCCGGACCUCAUCUUUGCCUCUAGAAACCUUUGUCUGGGUACGGACAGAGAUGUCUCAAGUCUCAAAAUAACGCUAGUUUCCAGUACAGAGGAAGCUAAGGUCCACUCUUUUGCUGUAAAUUAAACCAAAAGCUAAAGCGUCCCUGACGACGCAUUUGUGUAUCUAGCGCACAUGAGGGGAGGUGUGAAAAAAGGUGCGAUGCAGAGGGGAAGGUCAAGAGUUUUACUUUUUACGCUUCUAUCAUUUUUAGUCAACGUUAAGACUUGUCUUCUGUAAGGACGUCUCAUGUAUGCAUUCCCUGAUGACGUCAAGAUAAUCAUUUUAAUCAGGAAAGAAGGCACUAUUUGCCUAAACGUCAGCAGCCACUGUGAAAAUGAAAGCAACAUCAUUUUGAGAUUAAAGAACAGAAGGAAGGUUUUUCUUUCAAAAAGAUGGUGACAACCCA